ACAAGUACUCCCCCUGUAAAUAUGUUCCCGUUCCGUGUUGUUAGACGUACACUAUCCUCAGGCCAAUAUUUAUUAAACGGAACGAUUGUCCAACGAUCCCAUGGGAGCCUGAUUGGAGCUGUUUAGUCGCUGUAUAAUAUCAGAGCAAAGCGGCCACAUAAUAACAUGUAUAUGCACCAUUUAUUUAUAGUUAGAAAUUAUUCAAGCUAGCCAACUGCAGCUGAUGCACCAAUAACACAUACUGCGUACAUACCCUAAAAUAAUUCUGAAUGUGAUUUUAAUAAAUUAAAGAAAAUACAAAGUCAUUUUAGAAAAGCUUUAACAUCUUUGUAUACACAUCAUGUAAAACAUGACUUUGUAAUAAUUAUGCUUUAUUUGAUUCCAGGGAAUAGACUCCACAACAUGCUUGAAAUAUUUUCCAUGCAUAGGCUACAAUACAAUUCAUAACACUCAAAGCUAUAUAUUAUUAUUUUGUAUUUAUCCCAUCAAGCUAACACAUUAAAAUGUUCACUGUUAAAUUAUGACUUUUUAUCAGGGUGGUUAGUGUAGUGACAUGCAGAGUGAGUUUUAACAUGCAAAUUAUUCAGUCUGUUUAUAAGGAUCGCUGCUUUAAUAUCCCCCAGGCUAAGCGAGUCUGAUAUAUGACUUCUUCACUGGUGAUUAUUAAAUGAAAUGUUUGUAGAAUUACCAGCCAGAGUGGCUCUCGCACAGCGCCAUAACAAUAUUACUAUGAAGAUAGGCUAUCAAAACAACAGAUGUCUUUGAAUGUACGUUAAAUAUUACAUGGUGUUUUUGUUGUUGUUGUAAACUAUAACUAAAUACUCAUAGAAAUAUUAUAUUUCAACGUAAAAUAUGAUUGUAAAUAUGAUUUUAAUAAAUGUAUGUUUUGCUAAUCUAUGUCAAAAUGUUCAGUUCCAUCAGCAUAAUCGUUUGAAAUGAGCCGUUUCAGAAAGUUUAUUGAGCGGAGCAAAAAUAAGUCGGUACAUAAAGACGUAGGUAGGUAAUUUCUCCAAAACACACAAGACUACUUCAGUUUUUCUCAACGGUCACACUUUAUUUUUCUCCUCUACUGUCAUCCUCAGCAGUGGUGUCCGUCCGUCCGGCCAAGAUCGAUUGAUCUCUCGCUCUCUCUUUCUCGGCCAUCUCAGCUUGACACAUGCUGCUAUUCUGUGUUGUCUCUCUCGCCAGACCAGUGUCAAUACCUAUAGGUGACGCACAAGGAAUAUAAAAAAAAAAAAAAACACCUACAAACGCAGGCUACAAAAUACUGGUAGGCCAAAUUGUGAAAUGAAUGAAAAGUAUUGUGUACUUGAUAAUGAUGGCAGGCUGGUGCAGUAUCUAUUUAGUGUUCACGUCCCAUUGCCUAUCUGCUCCCUCCACUCCAUUUCCAUCUACUUUUCUCCCCAGCGCUCUGAGAGGAGAGCAGUGCAUGAAGCUUGAAAUCCGGGAGCACAUCAAAGCGCUAUGAACAUCAAUUCCACCGGGAAUUAACAGACAUUAUUCGGGCAUAUAUAACGUCCAAUUUAAAAGUGGAGACAAUGUAAUGUAGUCUUAUAUUGAGUAAGAUAUGUGAAAUGACUGAAAUCAGUCACCACAGAAGUGUCAAGCAAGAGGGGCAAGCCUACAAUAGCCUAAAGCAUGGGAAUAUACCAUAUGAGGUUUUCCUUGUGUGUGAUAAAGGUCUGUUUGUUCUUUAGUGGCGCGGGGCCACAAGGAGGACGGUGGACGACUGUGGGAACUGGAAGAAGCCUUAAUGCCGUGACUUAAUGUCGUGACCCAAUGCUGUACUGUAUUUAAACACGUCACGGCUGUGUGACUGAUCAAGAAGACCGCCAAACGUUCCUGUUGUCGUCUAACCUAAGCAACCUUCCAGACGGUGGCCGAUGUAAGAGAGUAGAGAGACCCUUAGUGGACUGGUGGAGUGGCUGCAUGCUUGGCUGACUGGCUGGCCUGUUCUCUCUGUAGUGCUGGCUGAGGCUGGAUCAUAGGUACAGUAUGCACAAACAUAAAGGGCAACGAUGAAAGUGAGGCAAUUAAAAGAUCUGAAAGCUUUUGAAGGCAGAUAAAUUGAUUUAGAUGUGAAACUCAAAUAAAUAAACACUUUCGGGUAUCAGGAGUUGAAUUAAUUUUCCUCCCAAGAGAUUCUGUUAUAAUAUUGUGAGAUAUCAGUUUUCAUUUUCCUUUACCACUUUUUAUUGUCUCUCAAUAGGACCCGGCAGUUCAAAAGACACAGCUCUAUUUGGCUUCCUAUUGGAGUUUCGUUCAGAGACGCUUUUCUAACCAUUCUGCUUUUGAAAUGUUUUGCGGUCUGUUGUUGGGAGAUGAAAAAACGGGGCGCUUUUCAUUCCUUAACCUUUCUUUAUUUCACUCGUCUUUUUAUACAUGUAUGGAUUUGUUAUUCUAAACAAUAGUAGCAUGUUCUCGUUGUACAUACUGUGGCCAUAACUAAUGUCAUUGACUGGACAGUCAAUGAUGACCACUGCUUUCAGCAUUCCGGCAAGGAUUGUUUUAAGGUGGAAAUCUGGUUCUUCUGUUGUAGUCAUGCUCAAUGCUCUUGGUUGGUCAUCAAUCAACAAGAUAAUAAAAAAUAAAAAAACAUGCUUAUUUUAUUUCAUAAUAUACACCAUUUAAAACAGCCAAACUCUAUUCACAACAGGAUUCAGUUGGUAAGAGACAGACAUUCAGUAAAUACUAGAAAUAGAUUGUCCACCAUCUAUGUGUUAUCCAGACAGAAAAGAGAAAUAGGCAAAAUAACAUUUAGAUUUAAAGUGUCUGAGCCUUUCAGAAACCUUUCAAUAUAUAAAUUCAAACAAUACUUUAAAACCAUUUAAAUAUAACACAUAGGAAAGUCGUGCUGGACUAUGGUAGAUGAAGAAUCCAUCUUUUUAGAGGGAUAGAGUAUUUGGUAUCUGGCCAAUAUAUUAGUGUAUUAUGUCUGUUUGUAACAGUGUGUUUUAUGUGAACAUGUGAUCGUAUUAUAAAUUGUAUUUUAAUGUUUAAGGACUCUUGGACGAUUAGUCCAAAUGAGGACUAAAAGAGAUCCUAAUCUAAUCUAAAUCAAAUCAGUAGACUGUGUUACUGUGUUACUGUGUUACUGUGUUACUGUGUUACUGUGUUACUGUGUUACUGUGUUAC